rnacentral:rRNA from 1 species
UACAGAGGUCUCAAGCGUUGUUCGGAUUCAUUGGGCGUAAAGGGUGCGUAGGCGGCGCGGUAAGUCGGGUGUGAAAUCUCGGAGCUUAACUCCGAAACUGCAUUCGAUACUGCCGUGCUUGAGGGACUGGAGAGGAGACUGGAAUUUACGGUGUAGCGGUGAAAUGCGUAGAUAUCGUAAGGAAGACCAGUGGCGAAGGCGGGU